rnacentral:rRNA from 1 species
CGCUAGCGACAGGCCUAACACAUGCAAGUCAGGGGCAGCACAAGGAGCAAUCUGAGGUGGCGACCGGCGCACGGGUGAGUAACACGUAUGCAACCUGCCUGUAAGCGGGGAAUAACCCGUUGAAAGACGGACUAAUACCGCAUAAUACUAAAUUACUGCAUGGUAAUUUAUUUAAACAUUUAUGGCUUACAGAUGGGCAUGCGCAUGAUUAGCUAGUUGGAGAGGUAACGGCUCCCCAAGGCAACGAUCAUUAGGGGUUCUGAGAGGAAGGUCCCCCCACACUGGUACUGAGACACGGACCAGACUCCUACGGGAGGCAGCAGUGAGGAAUAUUGGUCAAUGGACGAGAGUCUGAACCAGCCAAGUCGCGUGCAGGAAGAAUUGUCCUAUGGAUUGUAAACUGCUUUUGCAGGGGAAUAAAGUGCAUCACGUGUGAUGUUUUGUAUGUACUCUGCGAAUAAGGAUCGGCUAACUCCGUGCCAGCCGCGGC